rnacentral:rRNA from 1 species
UACGGAAGGCAGCAGUGGGGAAUAUUGCACAAUGGGCGCAAGCCUGAUGCAGCCAUGCCGCGUGUAUGAAGAAGGCCUUCGGGUUGUAAAGUACUUUCAGUCGUGAGGAAGGUGUUAAGGUUAAUAACCUUAACAAUUGACGUUAGCGACAGAAGAAGCACCGGCUAACUCCGUGCCAGCAGCCGCGGUAAUACGGAGGGUGCGAGCGUUAAUCGGAAUUACUGGGCGUAAAGGGCACGCAGGCGGUUAAUUAAGUUGGAUGUGAAAUCCCCGGGCUUAACCUGGGAAUGGCAUUCAAGACUGGUUAGCUAGAGUCUUGUAGAGGGGGUAGAAUUCCAUGUGUAGCGGUGAAAUGCGUAGAGAUGUGGAGGAAUACCGGUGGCGAAGGCGGCCCCUGGACAAAGACUGACGCUCAUGUGCGAAAGCGUGGGGAGCAAACAGGGAUUAGAUACC